AUUCAACAAUGUUUUGAGUUUUUUUCCCCCAUCCGCUGAAGAUGCAUGGACAGGAAAAGAGAGAAGAAAACUGUAGGUGUAGCUUUUCUGAAUAGAAAACUGCUGCCCGUAUCAUCAGCAGGUGAGCAAUCCUGUCAUCGUCCUCCACGUGCAAGCAAGCUUAUAUACCAAUGGUCCCUAGAUUACACAGUACUUACUAAUUGACACUGUGAUCUGGAAUUCAAAAUUUCAAACCAUCCGAAUGACUACUUAAAGACACGAUCAAGAGAAGAAGUUAUUCGUUUGAUUUUUUUAUCAUAAGUUGACCGACUCGAUUUAUUUAAAAAAUAUCAUAAUUAUCAUUAAUUUUUAACAUGAUAUUGUUUAGCAUAUAAUAUAUUUUAAGUAGGCUUUGAAUUUUUUUUAUUUUUUUAAAUAAGAUUAGCCGAUUAAAUUGACAAAAAAGUCUAAUAAAUUAUAAAUCGGGACCGUGGAAAUAUUAAUUAACUGCAAAGUAAAAAUAGAGAGUAAUCGGUUUUGUACGGGGCAAGAAGCAAAUGAGAUUUCAAAUGGAACGGCGUGAUGUUUUACAACUGCAAGGAGAGGCAGCCACCCGGCCCCACGUCCAUCCCUAAAACAUCGCCACGUUCCGCCUGCGCCACCCCCCAAUGUCCGUGGCCACCGGAGGCGGCGGCGUCCACCACCACCGAGUCCAAUGCCCAAGUCCCACUACGCCGCUUCCCCACCCCCGCACCCGCCGCCGCUCCUCCCGCUCGCGCUCGUCCCGCCGCGGCAGUGCCCGCUCGUCGCGGCCCUGCUGGCGCUGCUCUCGGUGCUGCUUGCCACCGCGCUCUGGCUCCUCCUCGUGCUCUCCCCGUCCCAGGGGGCUACCCCCGCCGCCUCCGAGCGCUCGGUGCUGCCGGAUGCGGGAGCGGCCGCGGCCGCGGGCCCCGGCGCCGCCUCGCCCCUCUCGCUCGGCCACAUCGUCUUCGGCAUCGCGGGGUCGGCGCAUCUCUGGCCGCGCCGCCGCGAGUACGUCCGCCUGUGGUGGGACCCCGCCGCGAUGCGCGGCAACGUCUGGCUCGACGCGGGCGCGCCCGCCGCGCCGGGGCCUAGCGCCCCCUGGGAGGGCUCCCUCCCGCCGAUCCGGGUGUCCGAGGACACCUCGCGCUUCAGGUACACCAACCCCACGGGCCACCCGUCGGGGCUCCGGAUCGCGCGCAUCGCCGCCGAGGCCGUCCGGCUCGUCGGCAGAGGGGCGGGCGCGCGCUGGCUCGUGCUCGUCGACGACGACACCGUGCUGUGCGCGGACAACCUCGUCGCCGUGCUCAGCAAGUACGACUGGACGGAGAUGGUGUACGUCGGGGCGCCGUCCGAGAGCCACUCCGCCAACACCUACUUCAGCCAUAGCAUGGCUUUCGGAGGUGGCGGCGUCGCGCUCAGCUUUCCGCUCGCCGCUGCACUCGCGCAGACGCUCGACGUGUGCAUCGAGAGGUACCCCAAGCUGUAUGGAAGCGACGACCGCCUCCAUGCCUGCAUCACGGAGCUCGGCGUUCCCCUAUCCCGCGAAUACGGAUUCCACCAGUGGGAUAUCAGAGGCAAUUCUCAUGGGUUAUUGGCAUCUCAUCCAAUUGCUCCUUUCAUCAGUAUCCACCAUGUGGAGCUUGUGGACCCCAUAUACCCUGGAUUGAACUCUCUUGAGAGUCUGGAGCUGUUUACAAAGGCUAUGAAAAUGGAACCCAUGAGCUUCCUGCAGCGUUCAAUUUGUUACGAUCAAAGCCAAAAGCUUACAUUUGCUAUCUCGUUGGGCUAUGUUGUUGAAGUAUAUCCCAAUGUUCUUCUUCCGCGUGAUUUGGAGCGAUCACAACGUACUUACGUUGCUUAUAAUAGGAUGAGUCAGAGAAAUGAAUUUGAUUUUGACACUAGAGAUGUCCAGAAAUCUUUGUGCAAGAAGCCGAUCUUAUUUUUCUUGAAGGAUGUCUGGAAGGAUGGAAACAUAACUAGGGGAUCUUAUGCACGAUCAAGUGCUAGGGAUGACCUCAAAAGAAAGGUGUUCUGCUUCCGGUCACCCCCUUUACCUGACAUAGAUGAGAUCCAAGUUUCCUCGUCUCCAUUAAGCAAGCGCUGGCAUCUGGCACCAAGAAGGUUGUGCAGUGCACUUAAAGGAUCUAUUGAUGGUACUCUGUUUAUGUUUGUUCAGCAAUGUGGACGUGGGACUUUUGGUUCAGCUUCUGAUUCCUUAUGACAUGGGAAAUAGAGAUGUAUAUUUUCUGUUCAGAUGAUACCUGGAAGAUGUAGUUACCACCCUACAUUCUUUGAGUCAAGUAUAAUUGGGGCUCUUUUUCUGCCUCAAACGCUUGACAGUAGCCAACUGUUUGUUAUAAUUGGUAGUUACUGAAGGGCAUCUACUACCAAGAACAGAUUAAGUGAGCCAUCAUUCGUGGGCUAAUAUUUUUAACAACUUCAAGUUCAACAUGAAUAAAAUGAUGCAGUGAUGAGAGUUGUCUCAUUGAGUCACUAGGUCGCAUAUUUGAUGUAGCCUCUCCAGAUUUGCAGGGGAAGGCUUGCCUAGGUUUAUCCUUUUCCUAGACCUCACUCAUGUGGGAGCCUCUGGCACUGGGUCUGCCCCAAGUUCAACAUUAAUGAGAUAUGGAAAUGAUAUGUAAUAAAGUUAACAACUAUUUCAUUUUUACUUGGGAAAAGCCUUGUGUCAGGCAGGCACCCUAGUUACUGGAGUUCCAAGCUAAUUUCAUGUGCACAUUGUUAAUUUAAUGACCAUGAUUGUCCUUAAUGUUCUAUUUUCAUACCUUACUUUCAGAAUUAUACACACUUCUUACACAGUUUCCUUCUGUUGCCUAAUUCAACAUGAUACAAAAUGAAUGACUCUCAUAUUAGUUAUGGCAACAUGUGCCUUUAAUAGAGUGCCAUAAUAACUUUUUUUACUAUUUUGCUGAUUUUCUGAAUUCUGAAAGAUGGUGUUGUUAUUUUUAAUGAUUCUGCACAAAGACAUUCUGUUUGUACAAUGUUACCAUAACAAUCCUUGAACUUGACUCUUGCUCUUGGUAUGAGCAGGAUAUGCCUUCGUUUCCAAUUUUCUUUGACUUUCCUUUGCCAGUGAUACUUAUCUACUUGUUCUAUUGAAGGAAGCAAAGGUCUUUGGGGGUUUACACAAAUUAAUUAAUCCUUUUAGUUAGAAGGAUAAAACUUCUUUGUUUUAAACCAUAGAGUCAGUUCAAGCCUCAUUUUUCCUUUGCACGAAAUAUGAUUCUGAAGGGAUAUAUAGAUGUGCAUGUUGCUAAAAAGGUGGAAGGUAACAUAAAAUAACAGUAUGCUUGCUGAUUGGAGAGAAGGGAUUCAUUUUGUUCACAGAAUAAUUGUUUGGCUUCUAUAAUUCCUCUGGUGUCUUAAACUAGGUUAAUGUAUUGUAUUGUUGUAGGGUUAUAGGAGGCUGAGUCACUGUGAGAGCAACUCCAUCAUGGCCCCAACUUGAGCCCUCAUAGCUAAAUAUAGGUGCCCAGACCAAAAACACAACUCCAGCAUGGCCCUUACUAGAGCCCUCAAAUUUGGGUGGCCACCCAAAUCCUCCCUCUAGCACUCAAACGAUGGUUCAAGGCUUGAAGCCAACACCUUCUCAACCCGCCCCAUCAUCCUCGUUGAAGGCCUCUUCGAUCUCCUCGUCGGCCAACUCAACGCCCGGCGCAACGGCAAUGAGGUAGGCGAUAGCUGGCGUGGAGGAGUGGCACGACGCGAGUUGAUGAAGAGAGGAGCGGCACGGGUGGGUGGGGGACGUGGAGGAGCUGUGUGGCUCCUGGAGUCGCCUGGUACCCGUCGCGAUGGUAGAGACUUAGAGAUAGGUGCGAGUGGUAGGCGGUAGCUGGCGCAGCGUGGGUGGAUGAGGAGAGGAGCGAAGCGGAGCGAAUGGAUGAGGAGCAACACGGCUCCUCCUGGUAGUGUCUGGUCUCCUCCCUCGAUGGAAGUGUACCUCCUGUGGUGGUUGGUAGGUGACUCUGCCUUUGCUCGCAUAAAUACUGAUGAGACUGAGGAUGGGAAGAACAAAGAAUGACAAGCGAGCCCUUUGUGUCAGUGUUCAUCAAAUAUUAUUUAAGCCGAUAUAAAAACUUAAACUGGGGGGGGGGGGGUAAGACAACUCCUAGGUAUUGCAUUAAAAAGAUGGUUUUCUCACGCAGGUCGAGAAAACUUCCAAACCUCAGCCCCACUCAUACACAACACCACAACCUAUGUGAGAACGACCACUAGUAGGCCCAGGCCUUAGACAUGUGAUUUGGCGUGAGAUAGGUGGUGGAACUUUUUUAACCCUAGCUGAGUUGAAUCCAGGACAUGAGUGCUACUCAAGCCACCGUCUCAACUUGAGGCCUUUUCGCUGCUGGAAUAGAUGUAAAAAACCAAAUCCUAAAUUAUAUUUUUGUGUUUUUGGCCAAUAAGGCAGCUUUCUUGUAUUGGUCCAUUUGGGGCCUAACUCUUCCUUCUUAAUAUAAUGAUGCGCAGCUCUUCUACCCGUUCGAGAAAAAAAAUUAUGUGACAGUUCCCUCAAAUCAAAAGUAGGGGCCUUGAUUUGAGUUUUUUUUUUGCUGGAGUUGCUCUGAUAGUAAAUGAUUGCUUUGCAUGAAUCUAGUCGAAUCCAUGCGUUUGUCCUCCAAAGCUGAUCACGGGUCUAGUUAACAGUCAUAUUGAUGAUCAAAAGUUUCAUGGGCAGAAUUUGGGGAAAAUGUUUAUAUUAUUUCAAUCAUUUGGUCAUAAAUUUUACUGUUAGUGGAAAAAUGAUUUAUUAACCUGAAAGUUCUGCACUGAAGUUCAUCUUCUUCUUUAGUGCAUGUCCCCAAUAUUGAAUAGCAUGUACAAGGUUCCUUUUCUUAAGCUCAACACCUAUAAGUUUAAACCUAUAGAAGCAGCUAGAGAAAAAAAACAUAAAAGCCCAAUCAUGGAGAUAGUUUCUUGGUUAGAAGAUUGCUAGUCAAUUUUCUGUUAUCUGCAGGUACUCCCUCCGUUUUUUAUUUGUCGUGUUUUAGUUCAAAAAUGAACUAGUGAGCGAUAAAUAUUGAGAUAGUAUAUUUUUUCAAAUACCGUGUUUGCUGGAAAGUGUUCACAAUCACAUUAGUGCAUGGAAUCUGAACCAUAAAAGGACCACUUUAGAAAUCUUAUAUGCCUGCUAGAUCAAGAUUUGUUUUCCUAUUGUAUUUUGGGAUUUCCAAAGACUUCCAUCUUGAUCAAAUUAUAAUUUGUAAAAGAAAUAAAUAUUUUUUUUUAAAAAAAUGUCCAUCAUUGGUUGAAAAAAUUCAAAGGAAAAGCCAAAAUGCUGCAUUAACAUUAGUUACGUAACUGAGAUCAAGUAUUUGGAAACAUUUUCUUCUGUAACAAGAUCUUCCAAGAUUUGUGUGCAUGUGUUGGUGCUAACUGUUUCAUUUAAAUGCCUUUUUUUUUCCUUUCAUGUUUCCACGUAAUGUUUGCCAUAGUCUGUGUUUCAUGCUGUGCUUGCAUACAUGCAAAUCUGUUAGCGAAGUUGUGUGGUGUCUUGAUUUAAGUGGAAAAUCUGCUAAAAGUGUACAAUUUGCCAAAUCGACUUGAACUUUCUGAAAUUGCCUUUUGUAGCAGUUGCUGACAGAAGAAACUUUGCAGAAAAGACAGGCUGGAAAUUUUCGCUUUGGAAUCUCUGUGGUUGGUGUCUGAUACUUGGAGACUGAGGCCUAGUGAAGAGAUCUUUGACUAAAGCUGCGCCGCUAUGGUUGGCUGAGAACUAACUAUCUGGUUUCAUCCUGGUGACCAGUUUACUCACCUUCGUGGAUUCUCCAUGAGUUGUGCGAAAUCAGGUAAGGAUAGUAAUAUGUUAGUCGUAGGUUUUAGUGCUGUGAUCCUGUAACCCUUCAUUGUUCGUACCCUUCCCGUCCUGUGCCUUCUCAUGUGAAAUGGAGCAUUAACCAAAGAGUCGCUGUGGAUUUCAGUCAGGAUCCAGUAUAAUAGUUGAACGAUUGACUUUAGAAUUUGGAGUUAAACAGUCCUAGAUUCAUCCACACCUGUUCGAACUCCGGUGGAAGGUUUUCCGAUUUCUAGGGGAAUUUAACCAUUUCUUCACUUUGAUGUGAAAUUUCAACGAGCUGGACAGAACUGGCCUUCUCUUUAAGUUGUAUCUUCAUCUAGUGUAUUUUUUUAAUAAUAAUUCGUCUGGUGUUGAAGUCA